GAUAGCAACAGAUCAAAUGAAACAAGGUGACCAAAUAGAGAAGAUAAGAUUCGAAAAAUAACAAAGAGCAGUGAAGCGAUGGUGGCAGGUUUACCGGAAAAACAGAGCUUAGUCACCCGAAAAGGUCACUGGAGAUGAUGGAGUUUUGAUACCAUGAAGAAACUCAUGAUAAUCAGGUAUCAUAGGAAUUCUAUCAAUGUUUUUCUUGUCAUUCCAUGAAAAUCUGCAUAUUGUACUAGCACUACUGUCUUUAACUGCUGGAAGUGCUGGCGUUGCAAUAGCAGAUGUAACCGUUGAUGCGGGCGUAGCGCAAUAAAGCGGUAUUCAUCCUUCACUUGCUCUAGACAUGCAAAGCUUAUGUGCCUUCAGUUCUUCCAUUGGACGCCUGAUCGGAUUUGCUUCAAGUGGCGUAUUUGUACACUUAAUCGGCCCCAAUCUACGCUGGGAAUCUUGGAUUGUGUGGGGAUCCUUUGCCUCUUUGUGAGGGUAGUACUAAGAAAGCGCGUACGGGUGUAAUCAUUGGGGCGGCACUUGGCAGUGCUGCUAUUGUUGCGUUAGUUGUAGGUGGCGGGAUGAUGUUCAUUAUGAGAAAAGUUGUUAGAAAAAUAGAAAGGAAAAAGAAGAAGAUCCUGAUGAAAAUAAAUGGACCCGGAGUAUCAAAGGAACCAAAAAGAUCAAGGCAAGAUGACUGAAUGCUUAUAUUAGCGGUGGAUAACGGGUCAAAACAUAUAUAUGUUUUUUAGUGCGGGUCAAAAUGGGUCAGGCUGUAUACACUUUUUGAAUAAGUUUUAGUCGUUAAAAAUACACUUUUGACCCAAAACUCUAUUAUUCAAAAAGUUUUACCUUUUUCUUUAUAAAGAGUAAAUUACGAUUUUGGCCCCUGUGGCUAUAUCACUUUUACCCUAUUAGCCCAAAAAAAGAUUUUUAACAUCUAA